CGCCUUAUACUCCUACGGGAGGCAGCAGUGGGGAAUUUUGGACAAUGGGGGCAACCCUGAUCCAGCAAUGCCGCGUGAGUGAAGAAGGCCUUCGGGUUGUAAAGCUCUUUCAGCCGGAAAGAAAUCGCGCAGGAUAAUACUCUGCGUGGAUGACGGUACCGGAAGAAGAAGCACCGGCUAACUACGUGCCAGCAGCCGCGGUAAUACGUAGGGUGCGAGCGUUAAUCGGAAUUACUGGGCGUAAAGCGUGCGCAGGCGGUUAUGUAAGACAGAUGUGAAAUCCCCGGGCUCAACCUGGGAACUGCGUUUGUGACUGCAUAACUAUAGUACGGCAGAGGGAGGUGGAAUUCCGCGUGUAGCAGUGAAAUGCGUAGAUAUGCGGAGGAACCCCGAUGGCGAAGGCAGCCUACUGGGCCAGUACUGACGCUCCUGCACGAAAGCGUGGGGAGCAAACAGGAUUAGAAACCCCAGUAGUCCACGUACCA
rnacentral:rRNA from 1 species